rnacentral:tRNA from 1 species
AAGAGAAUUGCUAAGUGGUCAACAGCGACAAACUGUAAAUUUGUUGAUAAAAUUCUUCGUAGGUUCAAAUCCUACUUCUCUUA